rnacentral:misc_RNA from 1 species
AAGGGAGAGAGACCGAGUAGCAUAACUGAGAGAGCAGCGGCAAACCACCAUCUCCAGCGGUCAGGCCAAAUUUCUAGCUUUCCAGUAAUGAGACUUACUCCAAUCAAGCCUAGUUGAACCUCCGUUCACAAGAAUCGUGAGACUAGGAAGGUGAAAGGGGAAAGAGAACCAGCAGCUACGGGCUAUUAGUGCCAGGCCAGCGAAGCCAACCGGAUCCUCCUCCACGCAGCAAAUUGCAAAAUUGAAGGAUAAACCUAUAAUAAUGAGGUGGUUAGUACCUUCAAGUAAACGUCUAUGGCACGAUAAA